rnacentral:misc_RNA from 1 species
UACGUAGGUGGCAAGCGUUGUCCGGAAUUACUGGGCGUAAAGCGCGCGCAGGCGGCCCUUUAAGUCUGAUGUGAAAGCCCACGGCUCAACCGUGGAGGGUCGUUGGAAACUGAGGGGCUUGAGUGCAGUAGAUGAAAGUGGAAUUCCACGUGGAGCGGUGAAAUGCGUAGAGAUGUGGAGGAACACCAGUGGCGAAGGCGACUUUCUGGUCUGUAACUGACGCUGAGGCGCGAAAGCGUGGGGAGCAAACAGG